rnacentral:rRNA from 1 species
GCAGUCAGAGGCGAUGAAGGACGUGCUAAUCUGCGAUAAGCGUCGGUAAGGUGAUAUGAACCGUUAUAACCGGCGAUUUCCGAAUGGGGAAACCCAGUGUGAUUCGUCACACUAUCAUUAACUGAAUCCAUAGGUUAAUGAGGCGAACCGGGGGAACUGAAACAUCUAAGUACCCCGAGGAAAAGAAAUCAACCGAGAUUCCCCCAGUAGCGGCGAGCGAACGGGGAGGAGCCCAGAGCCUGAAUCAGUGUGUGUGUUAGUGGAAGCGUCUGGAAAGGCGCGCGAUACAGGGUGACAGCCCCGUACACAAAAAUGCACAUGCUGUGAGCUCGAUGAGUAGGGCGGGACACGUGGUAUCCUGUCUGAAUAUGGGGGGACCAUCCUCCAAGGCUAAAUACUCCUGACUGACCGAUAGUGAACCAGUACCGUGAGGGAAAGGCGAAAAGAACCCCGGCGAGGGGAGUGAAAAAGAACCUGAAACCGUGUACGUACAAGCAGUGGGAGCACAGAGCAAUCUGUGUGACUGCGUACCUUUUGUAUAAUGGGUCAGCGACUUAUAUUCUGUAGCAAGGUUAACCGAAUAGGGGAGCCGAAGGGAAACCGAGUCUUAACUGGGCGUUAAGUUGCAGGGUAUAGACCCGAAACCCGGUGAUCUAGCCAUGGGCAGGUUGAAGGUUGGGUAACACUAACUGGAGGACCGAACCGACUAAUGUUGAAAAAUUAGCGGAUGACUUGUGGCUGGGGGUGAAAGGCCAAUCAAACCGGGAGAUAGCUGGUUCUCCCCGAAAGCUAUUUAGGUAGCGCCUCGUGAAUUCAUCUCCGGGGGUAGAGCACUGUUUCGGCAAGGGGGUCAUCCCGACUUACCAACCCGAUGCAAACUGCGAAUACCGGAGAAUGUUAUCACGGGAGACACACGGCGGGUGCUAACGUCCGUCGUGAAGAGGGAAACAACCCAGACCGCCAGCUAAGGUCCCAAAGUCAUGGUUAAGUGGGAAACGAUGUGGGAAGGCCCAGACAGCCAGGAUGUUGGCUUAGAAGCAGCCAUCAUUUAAAGAAAGCGUAAUAGCUCACUGGUCGAGUCGGCCUGCGCGGAAGAUGUAACGGGGCUAAACCAUGCACCGAAGCUGCGGCAGCGACACUAUGUGUUGUUGGGUAGGGGAGCGUUCUGUAAGCCUGUGAAGGUGUGCUGUGAGGCAUGCUGGAGGUAUCAGAAGUGCGAAUGCUGACAUAAGUAACGAUAAAGCGGGUGAAAAGCCCGCUCGCCGGAAGACCAAGGGUUCCUGUCCAACGUUAAUCGGGGCAGGGUGAGUCGACCCCUAAGGCGA